rnacentral:rRNA from 1 species
UGGGGAAUUUUCCGCAAUGGGCGAAAGCCUGACGGAGCAAUACCGCGUGAGGGAGGAAGGCUCUUGGGUUGUAAACCUCUUUUCUGAAGGAAGAAGUUCUGACGGUACUUCAGGAAGAAGCAUCGGCUAACUCCGUGCCAGCAGCCGCGGUAAUACGGAGGAUGCAAGCGUUAUCCGGAAUCAUUGGGCGUAAAGGGUCCGCAGGUGGUCAAGCAAGUCUGCUGUUAAAGAAUGAGGCUUAACCUCAUCAAAGCAGUGGAAACUGCUGAGACUAGAGUACGGUAGGGGUAGAGGGAAUUCCCAGUGUAGCGGUGAAAUGCGUAGAGAUUGGGAAGAACACCAGUGGCGAAAGCGCUCUACUGGGCCUGUACUGACACUGAGGGACGAAAGCUAGGGGAGC